GUAAAAUUUGCAGUGUUGAAAUCACAUUGUUAACUUCAACUUGCACUUAUAGUGUAGAUUCCUCUACAGGUAGAGUAGAUUCCUCUACAGAUAAAGUUAAAUUUGCACUGAAGCCUAUGUUAAAAUCCAGAGCUAAAAGUGUAGUGUAAAGAAGGCUCCACCCCUUUUUUUGGAACAACGCAGUUACACAGCCAGACCUCAAGAAUCUGCCCUUGAAGUCAGCGCCAGUUUGAAGAGGCUCCAAUAGAAAGGCAAACGGAUCAUGUUGGUCAAAGUCAAGUUCAGAGGCAUCCAGAAAUUCAUUAGCAUUUCCGAAGCCAAGCUCAGUGAACUGCUUGAGUGUGGUAAGUCUAACUUUAAUUGAAAUGAUUUUGUCUGGUCUGUAAAUCAACUUAAUGAACUGAUAUUCAGUAUUCCUUAAUGCAUUAUGACCUGUGUAGUAGUGGCUUUUGCCCAAAAAUCAUAUUUGAAGUUUGUCUGUUUCUUAACAUUAAUAUUCAAAUAUAUACAGCUUUUAACACUAGAAACGCCGGGCCAUUUUGACUUACUACUAGUGCCACAAGAGGGGUCAAAUGACCCCCAAGCCAUUUGAAUGAGAGGCUGUGCAUUUGCACAUAAUGAUCACUAGGUGGCGCCAAUGAACUAUUACCGCGCAAGCGCCACAUGUGUGUGUGUCACAAGCCUAGUCCUCACGAUUUUGUCAUAAAUGUACAUAUAUGAAGUACAAACAGCCUAUAUUUUCACUAAGGGUUUAAGAUUAAAUGAUGCAAAUAAAGUAAUUAAAUUAAUUGAGAUAUG